AAUAGAGGAUAGUGAUGGCAGAGCACGCGUUCGUUCUGUCAAUUUCAUCCGCAUAGGGCGUACGUUUCGAUAAAAUUUAGUUGUGAUUGCACUCUUGCGCCGCCCGGCACCUGUAUUUGCGUACAAUACCCCCGCGAGUGUAGUGACCACAUUGCAUAAUGUUACAUUGACGUGAUACCUUCGGAUACCAAGAUGUUGAAGGGUCGCGGUAGGGCUUCAGUGCCCGGGACUCCUACAAUGGGAAUGCGGACCCUAAACAGAGCGCCCAUGGCGAAGCCGGAACCAGACUACGAAGUAGUAGAGUUCCCGUCUGAGCAGUACGUCAACGCUAAACUGCAACCACCUCCACCACCGCCACCACGACCACCAACUGGUCAUCCAAUGGACACGUCUUGUGGUCUGUGCGGCGGUGGCGGCGCUAGAGUGCGGUGUACGGAAUGCGGACGUCGCGCGCUCUGUGCUUCAUGCGACGACAUGUAUCACAGACACCCGAAGCGGAGAAAUCAUCAGCGACAGGCCCUUCCACCGUCCCAGAUAAAGGAAGUACGACCGCCUUUACCACCAAAGGGAACACCACCCGUUCCACCUCCUCGGAGACACAAGAUGGCUGGAGACAGAAGCACAGCAAGUCCUAGACCACAACCGGUCGAUCCGAGGCAAGCCACCGUAAAUUUGGUCCAUGGGCCUCAAAAUCACUUCAACCAAGCAACGACGCUACCACACAACAAUUUUCCAAGUCAACGUACACCUCAAAAUUCUCAUUUAGCAAUGCCCAACUUUGCUGGUGCCAUGCAAGCGCCUAUGGAACCGACUGGUUUCAACUCUUGGGGACGCACGCGCACUUCAUUACCCGGAUACAAUGUCCCACCCCAAAACAUUAUGCCAACCCAACAAAUGGAACAUUGGGAAGGCCACGAAAAUCUAACCCAGAAUUGGGGUCGACCUCUACGACGCGGGGCUUCGGUUAUGGAGUUAGGGGGCCCCCCGCCUUGUGCUGGCUGUGCCCAUUGUGCCCCCAACCCAUGGCGCUACGGAAGCUGUGCUAACCUAGAUAACUCCUGGGGGCAAUGGCCACAAGGGUGCUGUAUUCCACCAACGCAUAAUCCCCGAUUGCCCUAUCCUCAAAUGCACCCUCAGACGCCUCAACCGUAUCGAAGAGCGGAAAGUCGAUGCGUGUCUCGUGCUGCUUCCCGCGCCCACUCACGCGCUCCAUCGCCAGCUUUAAGCAUGCGUUCCCGCACAUCAAGACGCAAGCCGAGAUCUCCGACGCCGUCUUUGCCAUCAAGUGAUGCUGACUCAGAAAGUGAGCCGGAGAGCGAUAGAGGCCAAGUAAAGAGAGUCGAGGAGAGAAUGGAAAUAAAAGAAAAGGAAAUGAAUAAUAAGGAAGAAAUUAAAGAAAGUGAAAGUGAUCUAGGACCCGCCCCACAAGCACCUAACACGACAUGGCAAUGUGAACAUUGUACGUUUGUUAACGACCCCGGUGUAAGAGUAUGCGUUGUAUGCUGUCGCACGCCAACUGUUACACCGAAAACUAUCACUUCUUUGCAAAAAAGCAUGGAGAAAUUAACGGUUGAAAAAUCUGUUGAAAAAGUUGAAAAAGCCCCAUCUCCGGUGGUUACAAAAGUUAUAAAUAAUACAGAUGACAAACCAAACAAAGAACGCACCAGAAAAGAACGCGUGUCCACUGGUUGCGGGCCAUCUCCGCCAAAAGACGUGAACCCUAAAAAUCGAUUAGAAACACCGACAAGAGAAAGUAAUCAAAAAUCAAAACAUUCCCGGCAUGAUAUUGCCGUUGGGCCGUCUCCUCCUAAAGAUAUUCAAAGUCACAUCAAAACUCAGCCGCGUGAACCUGUUGAAACUUUGAAACGAAGUAUUGGAUCAUCGCCACCAUCCAGUCCAAUAACUAAAACGGUUGUGAAACAGUAUGAAAUACAAAAACAGUCUGUUGGAAGUUCACCGUCCCGCGAUAGACCAGAAUCAAGAAGCAGGACUAAUGUGUCGAAUACGGGUACAUCUCCACCACCUCAGAGUAUAUCAACACAGACGUAUGAAGUGCCUAAUAAUUGGGAACGACCAGCUUCUGUGACCCGCUCACGUCCGCGGCGCCGUUUCAGAGAAGACAGGCGAGAGAGAUCUCACAGCAGGCAUUCACUCUCCAGUGAUACGAGAGAAAGUGAACGCAGUGUCCGCACAACGGGUGGUAGAUGGGAGUGGCGCGACAGCAGUCCGGCCGCUGACUGGAGUGAGACUGAGCGCAAGAAAGCGGAACGACUCACGCGCAGAGCUUCACACCUUGAUUUGCGCCGGACGCGCCCUUCACAACGGACCAGCCUUUAUGGGUCCGAGGGCCCGUCACCAGAGCCGUUAUCAAAUAAUCGAGCAAUUUCCUUAGAAGCUUUAGCUGGGGGACAUUCAAAGCGUGAAGCAGAAAGAGGUCUGGAACUAGCAAGACUCAUGACAGAAGCAGAACGCCUCGGCUUCAGUGCAGCUGAAGUUCACGCCGCUCUCGCACAGAAUCCGGUAGCGCCUCUUGCCUGGCUAAGAGAGCGAUGGCCCAGUUUGGUGGCGGGAGUUAGAGCAGCGGCAGCAAGACUUGCCGCUGGAACCAACGUAUCAGAGCUGGAAGCGCGCGCCGCUUUAUCGAAACAUAGAGGAGCCAUGUGGCCCGCCGUUACGGAGUGUGUCGAGCGACAUAGGCGACAGAUAGGUGAAAGUGGAAUAAGUGAAGAAGGAAAAUUACGAGGUCGAGUUUGGGGUUCUCCGAUAGGUGUCGAUGACGAAGCCAUCCCACCGUCUUUCUCCACCCGCUCACACCGCAGUCGCGCCAACGACAGUUCAGACGAAUUCGAAGAAUCCGUUAAUAAUUUUCAAGACGAUGACUGGAUGUAUUUACCGCUAAAUAUAAACAGAGAUACAUAUGAAACUGAACCAAAGCUUGAAGAUAGAAUUAAAUCUAAUCCUACUGAUACAGAAAAUAUAGCUGAAAAAUUAAAAUUAUUAUUAGACCUGGCUGGUAUUCCUUCUAUUGAAGAAAGUUUGCUUGUGCAAGGACUACGUGCAGAUAGUUCUAAUAAAUUAUUAAAGGGAAAUAAAGUGCAUACUUCUCCUUCACAGCAUACAGAUAAUUUAUUGGAGUUCAUACAAUCCGAAAAGGAUUUUAUUGAUGCCUACAAUGCAUUAACACGUCUAAGUCCAUUGCCAAAUAUAGAACAACAUAAGAAAGUAGUUCCAACCGACUCUUCAAUUGACACCGGCAUACAAACUCUUGAUCAACAGCCUCAAAAUCAAUUGUAUCCAUCGAAUAUAGAUUCCAGUAUUGUAAAUACACCAAUUUAUUCAGAUAAUCAUACAAAUAAUAGAAUAAAUAUUCCAAUAUCAUCUGAAAGCACAACACAAGAAAUUUUAACAUCACCAAAAAUAGAACCAUCUCAAGAAAAUAAUACAUUAAAUGUUAAUAACAGACAGCUAGAGAAAGCUUCGGUAGUUAAUGUUAUAGAGGAAAGGCAAACGGUAGAAGUGCAAAAUAUCAAAUCAAAUAAUCUGAGUGAUUUAGUAGAUAACACACAGCGGUUAAUACAACAAAUGAAAGAUGAAAUUAAUUACGAUAUCAAUUCAAACCAAGAUUCCGAGAAAAGUGAUAUUUCAGGUGUGAAUGAUUCAGAGCCUUCCACAGGCCAGGAAUCUAGUUAUAGUGAAUCGGAAAACAAUACAGAAGAAGUUGAAGGUACAUCUGAUGAAAAUGAAAGCUCGAUCGAAGAGGAUGAACAAGAAAAUGGAGAAUCCACAGAAAAUAAAGAUGCUAUCACAAGUUCAGAGGAUACGGAGCAGUUUGAAGAAGCAAUAGAUUAUUCUGAAUCGCCACAAGAAUUACAACAAAAUAACAAAACAGUGUUUGAUAUUUCUUCGCAAAAGUUACAAAAUGAUAAUAUUGAUUCUCCUAAAAUAAUAGCGAUAAAAAAAGAGAUGCUCCCUGAAGAUAUGAAUAACAACUUCUUCACAGUAGUGAACUCGUUUGAAGAAAUAUAUGAACAGCUGGCGAGUGAAACUAAAAUUCAAGAAACAAAUUCAAAUAAAAACCCUGUAACAAUACCUAUAAAAAAUAAAAGUAAUCAACUUACUAAAGAAACUCUGGAAGCAAUAGAAUUUAAAGUAUCUACACCAAUGAAAGAGAUUUUUUUGGAACUUAGAAGACCUAUCAUGAAUGCUUCCAUUGGAAAUGUUUAUGAACAAAAAGAAUCAGAUCCUGUUAUAAAAAAGAUUGAAGUAAACUUACCAUCCCUAGACAAAGAUAUUAAAAAUGAAAACAAUUUAGAAGAUUCCACUCCAGGUGACCCCAUGCCUACUCAUGGAGAAAUAAAUAUACAAAAAUCUAAUAAUGGGCAAGAUGUUAAUGAUAUUCCUUCGCAUGCAACUGUUAUCGAAAUAGUCGACUUAAAUAAAGCAAACGACAGUGAAGAAAAUGAUACUCCAAACCCAAGCGAAGAUCUUGUUUCAAAUACAAAUGCUAACAAAAAGAAUGUUAAUAUAUCUCAACCAAGUGUGUUAGGUAAAUCUAAUAUUCCAGUCCCCAUCAAAACUAUUUCCGAAAAAGAUAAGCAGGAUAAAAAUCCUAAAACAAUAGUUUCUAAAUUACCCGUAAGACGCACUUCAAUCAAACAAUACCCAGCGCCCGCACCUCCUAAAGCUCAAUUCGCGACUGUUCAAAAUGGAAAUGUUAAGCAACUACAGAGCAAAUUAUUUGUUCCGAAACCUGAAAUAAGCCAAGAUACGCCUAUUUUAGAUCCAACACCUUCUACGUCAACGUUAAAGAAAAAACAGGCUCCACAACCUCCGAAAAGUGAGAAACAAUCAUCACCAAAUAUGUCUCCUAAGGAAAAAGAACAAUUCUUCCGGGAAACGUGUCGAACAGAAGAUGAAUGGACUGACAGCGAAUCUGAUGAAGAUAUAAAAUCAAUGCAAAAAAUUAGGGAAACCACACCAACACCUGAGAUUCAGCCGCCUCCACCACUAACAAUGCGGCGAAUUUCGGGACAAAUCAUAGACUUAACGAGAAUACAAUUGCCCGAAGGUUCUCCAGAGAGACAAGCUCGUAUGCUUUUAGCGGAAGGCGCAACAGAAAAUUGGGAUCAAGCUAGGAUCGCCGUAGACUUAAUAACGCGAGGGACAGAUGUCCCAACAGCUCUCUUAGCUGCAUUGGAGUGCACUGAUCUCACAGCUGCCUUGGUAUACUUAAACCAAUACUGUGAACUGUGCGCUGCACACUAUCCGGAACAUGAAAUGGUAUCUAUGUUGCGAUGUGAGCACAGGUGUUGCCGCGAGUGUGCCAGGCACUACUUCACAGUGCAAAUCACUGAGCGCAGUAUCGUUGACUGCGUAUGCGCAUAUUGUAAAGAACCAGAGUUGGAAAACUUAGACGAAGAUGCCUGGGUCAAUUACUUUGCACAUUUGGAUAUUUUACUGAAGACGUUACUUGAAAACGAAGUACAUGAAUUAUUUCAAAGAAAAUUACGAGAUCGAACGCUCGCCCGAGAUCCAAACUUCAGAUGGUGCGUUGAGUGCUCUUCAGGGUGUUUCGUAAACCCCAAGCAAAGGAAACUUCGAUGUCCUGAAUGCAAAUCUGUCACUUGUGCCACGUGCAGAAAACCGUGGUCCGCAAAUCACGACGGUAUUUCAUGUGAACAAUAUGCGAUAUGGCUUGAAGAUAACGAUCCGGAACGAUCAAUGGCUGCGGUCCAACAGCAUUUGAAAGAAAAUGGCUUGGAGUGUCCGCGGUGCCGUUUUAAAUAUUCACUUUCCAGAGGUGGUUGUAUGCAUUUCACCUGUACCCAAUGCAAAUACGAGUUUUGUUACGGUUGUGGAAAGCCAUUUAUGAUGGGUGCAAGAUGCGGGCUUAGCGAAUACUGUGCUAAGCUGGGAUUACACGCGCACCAUCCCAGAAACUGUCUCUUUUACCUACGUGAUAAAGAGCCACAUGAUUUGCAAACGCUUCUUCAGAUGAACAACGUCACAUAUGAAACUGAACCUCCGCAAGGGAGCAACAAGCGCUGUCCAAUUCAAUUGCAACGGGAAACUCCCACUGGUCUCGUAGACACAACGUGUGGCAACGAAGUUGCAUCCGGCAACGCUGGUCUUUGCAAGAACCAUUACUUGGAGUAUCUGAGUCGAUUGGUGCGUAACAAGAAAAUCGAGCCUUUGCCGAUAUUGGGCGUGGACGAUUUGGAGACUUUGGAUGCACUACGUGGAAUACUUGGCUGGGUUGGCGCGUACGCUUGACCCAAUCCCGAUUAUGGAGGUUAGCGAGCUCGUCGCCGAGCUCCGGCGUCGCGCCCUGCCCUUGCCCGAAAGGGGACCCUGGGACACUGAUCCUAUUUACGCCGGGAUGUGCGCUGAGAUUGUUAAAGAGAAAAUUCCUCUGGACUGACAACUUAGCUUGUAUAGAAUAUUUAUUUAUCAUAACAAUUUUAUGCUUUCAAAUAGAAAAUAAUUAAAUAUAGAAACUCAUCUGUUAAUAUCAUAAA